GACGAACGCUGGCGGCGUGCUUAACACAUGCAAGUCGAACGGAAAGGCCCUGCUUUUGUGGGGUGCUCGAGCGGCGAACGGGUGAGUAACACGUGAGUAACCUGCCCUUGACUUUGGGAUAACUUCAGGAAACUGGGGCUAAUACCGGAUAGGAGCUCCUGCUGCAUGGUGGGGGUUGGAAAGUUUCGGCGGUUGGGGAUGGACUCGCGGCUUAUCAGCUUGUUGGUGGGGUAGUGGCUUACCAAGGCUUUGACGGGUAGCCGGCCUGAGAGGGUGACCGGCCACAGUGGGACUGAGAUACGGCGCAGACUCCUACGGGAGGCAGCAGUGGGAAAUAUUGCAGAAUGGGCGGAAGCCUGAUGCAGCAACGCCGCGUGCGGGAUGACGGCCUUCGGGUUGUAAACCGCUUUCGCCUGUGACGAAGCGUGAGUGACGGUAAUGGGUAAAGAAGCACCGGCUAACUACGUG
rnacentral:rRNA from 1 species